GCAUUGGUAGCUCAGUCGGUAGGGCAUGAGACUCUUAAUCUCAGGGUCGUGGGUUCAAGCCCCAUGUUGGGCA